CCUACGGGUGGCAGCAGUGGGGAAUAUUGGACAAUGGGGGCAACCCUGAUCCAGCCAUGCCGCGUGUGUGAAGAAGGCCCUCGGGUUGUAAAGCACUUUCAGUGAGGAAGAACGCCUGGUGGUUAAUACCCAUCAGGAAAGACAUCACUCACAGAAGAAGCACCGGCUAACUCCGUGCCAGCAGCCGCGGUAAUACGGAGGGUGCGAGCGUUAAUCGGAAUUACUGGGCGUAAAGCGCGCGUAGGUGGCUUGAUAAGCCGGUUGUGAAAGCCCCGGGCUCAACCUGGGAACGGCAUCCGGAACUGUCAAGCUAGAGUGCAGGAGAGGAAGGUAGAAUUCCCGGUGUAGCGGUGAAAUGCGUAGAGAUCGGGAGGAAUACCAGUGGCGAGGGCGGCCUUCUGGACUGACACUGACACUGAGGUGCGAAAGCGUGGGUAGCAAACAGGAUUAGAUACCCUAGUAGUC
rnacentral:rRNA from 1 species